rnacentral:rRNA from 1 species
GACGAACGCUGGCGGCGUGCUUAACACAUGCAAGUCGAACGAUGAAGAAGAGCUUGCUCUUCGGAUUAGUGGCGAACGGGUGAGUAACACGUGACUAACCUGCCCCUUUCUCUGGGAUAACGCUCCGAAAGGAGUGCUAAUACCGGAUACUCACAUCGAGGCACAUGCCUUGAUGUGGAAAGUUUUUCGGAAAGGGAUGGAGUCGCGGCCUAUCAGCUUGUUGGUGAGGUAACGGCUCACCAAGGCGACGACGGGUAGCCGGCCUGAGAGGGCGACCGGCCACACUGGGACUGAGACACGGCCCAGACUCCUACGGGAGGCAGCAGUGGGGAAUAUUGCACAAUGGGCAAAAGCCUGAUGCAGCGACGCCGCGUGAGGGAUGAAGGUCUUCGGAUUGUAAACCUCUUUCAGUAGGGACGAAGCGAAAGUGACGGUACCUAAAGAAGAAGCACCGGCUAACUACGUGCCAGCAGCCGCGGUAA